rnacentral:rRNA from 1 species
GAUGAGCGCUGGCGGCGUGCCUAAUACAUGCAAGUCGAGCGAACGGACGAGAAGCUUGCUUCUCUGAUGUUAGCGGCGGACGGGUGAGUAACACGUGGAUAACCUACCUAUAAGACUGGGAUAACUUCGGGAAACCGGAGCUAAUACCGGAUAAUAUUUUGAACCGCAGGGUUCAAAAGUGAAAGACGGUCUUGCUGUCUCUUAUAGAGGGAUCCGCGCUGCAUUAGCUAGUUGGUAAGGUAACGGCUUACCAAGGCAACGAUGCAUAGCCGACCUGAGAGGGUGAUCGGCCACACUGGAACUGAGACACGGUCCAGACUCCUACGGGAGGCAGCAGUAGGGAAUCUUCCGCAAUGGGCGAAAGCCUGACGGAGCAACGCCGCGUGAGUGAUGAAGGUCUUCGGAUCGUAAAACUCUGUUAUUAGGGAAGAACAUAUGUGUAAGUAACUGUGCACAUCUUGACGGUAACUAAUCAGAAAGCCACGGCUAACUACGUG